UCUUGCUCUGUUGCCCAGGCUGCAGUGCAGUGGUAGAGCAUCAUAGCUCACUGCAGCCUUGAACUCUGGGCUCAAGUGAUCCCCCACCUCAGUCUCCACAGUAGCUGCAUCACCAUGGCUGGAUACUUUUUGUUUUUAAGAUAGGGUCUCGCCAUGUUCCCUAAGCUGGUUUCAGACUCCCGGGUUCCAACAGUCCUCCCACCUUGGCCUCCCAGAGUGCUGGGAUUACAGGUGUGAGCCACCAUGCCCAGCCCCCAGGCCUCCUGCCUUUCACAGAUGAGAGCUGAGGCUCAGGAAAGGAUUUGACCUGUCAUCCAUCACACACCUAGUAAAUGGUUGAGCAAACUGAGUCUCUGGAAAAAGAAGCCAGAGAUCCCAGGGGACAUGGUGGGUGAGCAACUAAGCCAGGACUGGGCCCUCAUCCAUAUGGUAAGAAGGCCCUUCCUGGUCUUUUAAGAAGUCCCAAUUUCCCCACCUUACAAUGGAGGAAACCGAGACUCAGAAAGAGUUGCCAAAGAUCAGAGGGUCGGGCAUGAGGCCCAUUUCAUUUAUUUUACAAUAGCUUCAUUGAAAUCUAAUUCACAUAUCAUAUCAUACACUCACUACAGGGUACAAUUCAAUGGCUUUUAGUGUAUUCACAAUUGUGCAGCCAUCACAAUUAAUUUUUUUUUUUUAAAUGGAGUCUUGCUUUGUCGCCCAAGCUCGAGUGCACUCGUGCACUCUCAGCUCACUGCAACCUCCACCUCCCGGGUUCAAGUGAUUCUCCCACCUCAGCCUCCCGAGUAGCUGGGAUUACAGGUGCGCGCCUGUAAUCACCAUACCCGGCUAAUUUUUGUUAUUUUUAGUGGAGACGGGGUUUCACCAUGUUGGCCAAGCUGGUCUCGAACUCCUGACCUCAAAUGAUCUGCCUACCUUGGCCUCCCAAAGUCCUGGGAUUACAGGUGCGAGCCACCGCACCUGGCCAGCAUAAUGUUUUCAAGGUUUAUCCAUGUUGUUGCAUCUAUCGAUACUUCAUUUCUCUUUAUUGUCAAAUACUAUUCAUUGGAUGAAUAUACCACAUUUUAUUUAUUCAUUAGUUGGUUGAUACUUGGGUUUCCACCUUUUGGCUAUUAUGAGUAAUGCUGCUGUGAACAUUUGUGUACCAGUUUUUGCAUCUGUUUUCAUUUCUCUUGGGUACAUAAGUAGGAGUGCAAUUGCUGGGUGAUGUGGUAAUUCUAUGUUUAACCAUUUAAGUAACUGCCAGACUGCUUCCUACAGCAGCUGCAAUUUUUCAUUCCCCACAGCAGUGUAUGAGGAUGCCAAUUUCUCCACAUUCUCGCCAACACUUGUUUUUUUUAUUAUAGCCAUUCUAAGUGGGUGCAAAAUGGUAUUCCUUUGUGCUUUUGAUUUGCAUUUCUCUGAUGGCUAAUGAUGUUGAGCAUCUUUUCAUAUGUUUAUGAGCCAUUUGUAUACCUUCUUUGGAGAAACGUCUGUACAGAUCCUUUGCCUACUUUUUUUGUGCCUCAGCCUCCAGAGUAGCUGGGACUACAGAUGUGCACCACCAGGCCCGGCUAAUUUUUGGAUUUUUAAUAGAGACGGGAUUUUGCCAUGUUGGCCAGGCUGGUCUCAAACUCCUGAGCUCAAGUGAUCCAGCUUCCUCGGCCUCGCAAAGUGUUAGGAUUACAGGCGUGAGCUGCUGUGCCUGGCCCCCUUUGCCCACUUUUAAAUUGGGUUAUUUGGCACUAGCCCACAUCGUGAAACCCUGUCUCUACUAAAAAUACAAAAAUUAGCUGGGAUGGUGGCAUGAGCCUGUAAUUCCAGAUACUCAGGAGGCUGAGGCAAGAGAAUC
rnacentral:lncRNA from 1 species